rnacentral:rRNA from 1 species
GCAGCGCGGAGCUUGCUCUGGUGGCGAGUGGCGAACGGGUGAGUAAUAUAUCGGAACGUACCCUGGAGUGGGGGAUAACGUAGCGAAAGUUACGCUAAUACCGCAUACGAUCUACGGAUGAAAGUGGGGGAUCGCAAGACCUCAUGCUCGUGGAGCGGCCGAUAUCUGAUUAGCUAGUUGGUAGGGUAAAAGCCUACCAAGGCAUCGAUCAGUAGCUGGUCUGAGAGGACGACCAGCCACACUGGAACUGAAACACGGUCCAGACUCCUACGGGAGGCAGCAGUGGGGAAUUUUGGACAAUGGGCGAAAGCCUGAUCCAGCAAUGCCGCGUGAGUGAAG